AGCAGUUAAACUUUGGAAGCAGGUACAUCUCAACCCAUAGAUCCUAAAAUCCUAGACAAGGUUAUGAAGAUCUGUGCCUUCCAUCUGACCUUUUUUCUUGCCUUUCCACUGGGAACAAUGGGUCACAGACCAUCCCUCCAGAAAAGAUGCCCAGGGAAGGACAGCCUCUCCUUGAUGCAACUGCUAGCAGAGAACUCAACAUUGCUGAAGUGGAAGCAUACUGGAAGAGGUCUCAUCUUCUUUUUCUCAGUACCUUUUCCCCCCCAUAAUCAUACACAUUGAUAGAAGCAGAAAAAUAUACAAAGCCUGUCUAAAUAAGCUACACUUGAUACACUAUGAACAAAGUGGAGGAAAAACUACCAGAAAAUAUUUUAAGUUUCAAUUUGCUGCAAAGUGUUUGUCAUC